rnacentral:lncRNA from 1 species
AAAAAAAGUCACCUGCUCAACAGUAGAAAAAACAAAAACAAAAACCCACUGCUCCUUUUAGCAAAGGAGGAGCCCCAGGAAGGACAAGAAAAGUGUUUACAUUUCAAUCGUUCAGAUGCCCGUCCUGAAAAGAAUCACAAAAGAAUGCUCAGGAAGAUAUUUCUGUGGCAGCUUUCCGAGGAGGUAUCAGGGCCAGAGAAGGCAACAUGGGAGCUAAUUGUAACUACAGAGAAGUCAGGGAGGACUGGGUGUGAUCCGCCCCAGAGGUCUAGUUAAAGUGCAGACAGAUUUCAGGCAAGAAACCAGCCAAACAAACAAACAAACAAACAAACACCAACCCAAUACCCAUAAGGAUCCCUGUCCCCCCUUAAAAAAAAAAAAAAAAAAAAAAAAAAGUCCCGUAAACCUCUGCUGUCUGGCAGCAAGCCUGCAUACUCUCUAGUGCUGAGAUAAAGACCCAAUCUGCUCAUCAAACACCUCCAGGCUCCUCCAUCUAAUAGGAACAAAUUGGCAAUGACUGCCCAAGCUAGUAACACAGGCCCACUGAUUUGUAGAUUGAUACAGAUGCCUAAUGAUCCCCUUGGGCAGAUCAAUAGGAACAAUCCUCAUCCCUGCCUUUCUUCUUUAUUGGCCUAGAAGACUAAGGCAAGGAGAAAGCAGGAUGUAGGGGAGGCGGCGGUACUACCUGGGGGACAGAUGGAGAACGAGGAUACAGGUGUUGAUGUGUAGGAGGAAAGCCACUCCAGACCAGCACUCGAGAACUUUCCUCCCCACUGUCUGGAUUCAUUCUCUGUAUUUGGCAGGCAAAGGGUGUGAGGACAGGACACAAGAUACUUUUCUAUUAAUAGGAGCCGUGCACAGGCACAGCAUUCGGUGAGACCUGCUACCUCCGUCCAGGAAAGGGAAGAGAAACAAUGCAAACCCAAGUGCCCCUCUAAGAAGAUGAGCUGGGGGUGGGGGGUGGGGAGCACAGAAAGUGCCAGAGAUGUGGAUGAGAGAGAGGCAGAGACCCGGGAUCGAAUCCCACAUCGGGCUCCCUGUGCAUGGAGCCUGCUUCUCCCUCUGCCUGCAUCUCUGCCUCUCUCUCUCUCUCUCUGUGACUAUCAUAAAUAAAUAAAUAAAUAAAUAAAUAAAUAAAUAAAUAAAUAAAAAAUUUAGUUAAAAAAAAAAAAAAAGCAAGAAAGAUCAUAAAUAAACAACCUAACUCCAUGCCUUAACAACCAGGAAAAGAAUUAAACUCGAGUUUCACAAAAUAAAUGAAAUUAUAAAGAUAAGAGCAAAAAUAAAUGAAAUAGAGCACAGAAAAACAAGAGGAAAGAUUAGCCAAACUAAGAGUUGGUUCAUUGAAAAGACCAACAAAAUUAACAAACCCUUAGCUAAACUAACCAAGGGGAAAAGAGGAAAGACCCAAAUCAAUAAAAUUAUAAACUAAAAAAGAGACAUUACAAUGAAUACCAUGAAAUAUAAAAGAUCAUAAAAGGCUACUAUGAAAAACUAUAUGUCAAGAAAAUGGACCACCAGAAGAAACAGAAACAUUCUUAGAAACACAAUUUACCAAGACUAAAUUAGGAUGAAAUAGAAAAAUCUGAAUAGACCAGUUUCAAGUAUGUAUAUUGAAUCAGUAAUCAAAAAUCUCUCAAUGGAAAAAUGCCCAGGACCAGAGAACUUCACUGGUGACUUUCACCAAACAUUAAAGAAGAAUCAGUUGAAACUCUUCCAAAAAAUAAAAGAGGAGAGAACACUCACAAACAUUUUAUUUUUAUGAGGCAAGCAUUAUCCCAAUACCAAAACCAGAAAAGGACACUGCUAGGAAAACAACAACAACUACUACAGGCCAGUAUCCUUGAUAAAUAUAGAUGCACAAAUUCUCAAUAAAAUACUAGCAAACCUUGGAACGCCUGGGUGGCUCAGUGGUUGAGCAUUGGCCUUUGGCUCAGGGCAUAGUCCCGGGAUCCGGGAUCGAAUCCCACAUUGGGCUCCUUGCAUGGAGCCUGUUUCUCCUCCCUCUGCCUAUAUCUCUGCCCCUCUCUCUCUGUGUCUGUCAUGAAUAAAUAAAUAAAAUCUUUAAAAAAAAUACUAACAAAUCAAAUGCAGCAGCACAUUUAAAGGAUCAUUUACAAUAAUCAAGUUGGAUUCAUCCUUGAGAUACGAAGAUGGCUUGAUAGUUCAACAUGCACAAUUCAAUCAAUGUGAUAUAUCACCUGAGUAGAAUAAAGGAAAGAAAUCAUAGAAUCAUUUCAGUAAAUACAGAAAAAACAUCUGACAAAAUCAAGUCAUUCAUCUGUGAUUAAAAACUCUUAACAAAUUAAGCAUAGAAGAAAUAUAUCUCAACAUAAUAAAGGCCGUGCAUGACAAACUCAAGCUAACAUCAAACUUCAUGGUGAAAAGCUGAAAGGUUUUCCUUUAUCAUGGGAAGGAUGAUAAAGGUACCCAAUGUCACCACAACUUUUCAACACUGUAUGGGAAGUCUAGCUAGAGCAAUUAGGCAAGAAAAACAAAUAAAAUGUAUCAGAAUUAGAAAGGAAGAAGCAAAAUAGUCUCUCCUCUCAGACAGCAUGAUUUUUAUAUAUAGAAAAUCCCAAAGACUCAACCAAAGAACUACCAUGCAACACAGCUUUUCAACUUUGAGAAUAUAUCCAAAGGAAAUGAAAACACUAACUUAAAAGCUAUCUGUACCCCCACGUUCACAGCAGCAUUAUCUACAAUAACCCAAACAUAGAAACAACCU